ACACACACACACACACAUACACACACACACACAAACACACACACACACACACACAGAUAUUUCCUAUUGGUUCUGUCUGGAGAACCCUGACGGAUACGACAUCUCUUUACUGUUUAUCACCCCCACUGCCGCCAAGAUGCAGGCUCUCCAGGGCAGGGUCUUGUCUGUUUCCUUCACAGCUGUGUCCCCAGCGCCUAGGACAGUGCCUGGCAGUAGUAGGUACUCAGUCAGUCCUGCCCAAAGGAUAGUUCUUCAUCAUUCUUGUUCAUUCCUGCGGUUGUUGGCUCAGUUUGAAAAUCAAGGGAGAAAGAAAAAAAAAAAAGAGGUACAAUUGUCUUAUCUGAGCUGGGGAUUUCCCAGGGGGACUGAGUGCUGUGGGUCCUGCUGUUGAGCAUGUGUCUAUUUGCAGCUGAGGAAAGCUGUGGCAGCGAAGGAAGGCAGCAAAUUUAAACUCAAGUUCAGGUUCACCUAGCAACAUGCACGCCCCCAGCUGCUGGCUGCUGCAAGCCAAGCGCGGAAUCUGUGCAGCUGGGGCCCUUCGUGUUGCUAGGAGAGCGACGACUCUGUUUCCAGCCGUGGAGCGGAGACUGCUGUGUGUUACGAGGGGUGAACAAGGUGGGCGCUGGUUUUUUUCCCCCAACUAAUUGUUUUUAAAGCAAGUUGUGUGAGGAGGAGCCAGUGAGUGCGAGAAGCAGGGAAAAAGCGUAAGCCCUGAUUUCUGCUUGUUUUGGAACGAGUGGUUAGUGCACAACCUCUUGCUUCAGAAUAUGUCCCAAACGGGUUUGCAAUCAGGGACAGAGUCGUGGGAACUUACGAAACAACCAAGUCCCCACACUGUUUGGCUCCCGCAUCCACAGGCCAUCUGGAUCAGAGCAUGGAGUGUGGGGGUGGUUUGGGGGUGGGGUCUAGGAAUGGAAAGGAUCAAGCUGCCGUUGGUUGGGCCGAGGGAUUUGGGUUUCCACAUUUUGCCUUCACUUAAUUGCGUUCACAGACCAUCCUGACCUCCAGCCUCUCUCGCUGAGUCAUCAGGUUGACCAGCUGAAAAGCAAACCAGAAGGCCGGCCUGCCAUGUGGUAGGUGGAAGUACGCUUCCCCUCCCGGCGGCCCUGACUCUUACUUGGUCUGUUGCUCAGAGGGACAUUAGCUGGGGGAGGACAGUGUGGUGUGGUUGGGGGACGAGAGGACAAGAUGAGGAGGAGGGCCAAAGAAAAUUCCACUCAUGGCCGCCCUUUAUGUGUACUGUCUCGGGUUAACCACCCUGUUUUCCACUUCCACUUCAUAAGAGGCGCUGACGCAGAAAGGCUGAGCUGGCCGAGUGAGGGACAAAGCUGAGAGCUGGGCCCAGCUCCGCCCCAUUCCGAAGAUUACCUCUUCUCCCCCAGCCGCUGCCCAGGUGGGAUGGGACAUCAUCCGCGACAGGAUUUGAGGGGAAACACGUGGAGCAUUGCUGUGGGCCUAUUUUCUAAGAGAAUAUCCUAAAGAAAACAAAUUCAAGUUUCCUGCUAGAGAAGCCUCCGCUUCAAAAGGAGUAGGGAGCAGAAAAAAUGCUAUGAAUUCAUCGAACUGAUGUUAUUUUCCUCUUGGACACGUGGAAAGGCUGUUUUUGAGCUUCCACUAUAGUAAGGUGGCGUCAAGGGGCUGAGCUCCUGGCCAAUGGAAGGGGCUAAAGGGACAAACACCCUGCCCAGCGUGCUCCUAAAGCCUGCAUGCGAUCCUCGCUGUGCUUUCUUCCCACUUGCUGGUUGGAUGCAGGGGACCCAGGGUGGGACUCCAAGGCCCUGGAAGAUGGUGGAGCCACUAGGAAGGGGCCUGGGUCCCCGAAUGCCUUUGUGGAGCAGAAUGUCCCCUCCUCUUGAUGAUAUUGGACUAUGCUGGGUUGAGCCCUUGGCUUUGGGGGCUGCUUGUUUCCGUGAUGAGGUGGGGAGGGGCCCCCUGGUGACAGAGGGGUAAGGUUUAAUUAGCCACCCUGAACUGAGAAAAGGGAGCCUGUGCGUGGAAGAGUGUAUGUAAAUCGGAGUAAACACCCUCUGGUGGGGCCCUUUCUGACCUGCAAUUAAAGGUAACAGUAACAAUUGUAAUAAAAGUGAACUUUUAUUGCAUACUCACUUUUCAAAGUGCUUUACGUGGCUUAUCUCAUUUAAUCUUCAUAACAUCCCAAUGAGGAAGGAACUAUUAAUAUCAUCCCCAUCGUAUAGGUGAGAAAACUGAGGCCAACAGAGAUGAACUUUCCCCAGCAUCCCCAGAAAUGACAUGGCAGAGCCAGGAUUGGAGCGGAGCCUGCUGGCUAUCAAGCCUGCCUCUUACCUGCUCGGUCUGUCUCUAGGGAAUGGGCACUAACGCUUUUCAAUGAAGGCGAGGUACUGGAUGCUGGGGACACACUAGGGAGCAGACGACACGGCCCCUGCGCUCCUGGAGCUUUCAGUCUGGAUUCUGAACCCUGGAUGUUUCGUUGGUGGAUGAGCUGAAGGUCACAGGCACUAAAGAGGUGGGCCGUAUGGGGGAAGGGCUCAGAAGGGGGCAUCUAGAAACCUCCAAAGCGAAGCCCUACAAUUUGACUGGGGCGGGCUUGUUUACUUGCGAGUGUUUUCAGACAACUAGAAGCCAUAGAUGUCAGUAAUUUGUCCACAAGAACUGAUAAAGUGCAUUUCAGGGGCGAGGGAGGGUCAGGGAAGGAGUCCUCAGUGGGCUGGCUUCCCCCGGGGGAGCCAGAAGGGGCGCUCUGGAGUGGAAAUUCAGAUAAUUCUUUUGUAGGACCAGCAGAAACUAUGCCCAAACAGGCUCUUUCCAUUUUCGAUGUCACUUUGGGAUCAGCAUUUGAUUUGCUCAGUGCCACAGGCAUUCAGAUGGAGCUGAAGUCUUGCAUCAAAUUAGGAGAAACAGAAUCCUUGUCAAUCUGGAGCCUGGAGAUAUGAUUUGCUGUCUGGGGCACUGCACGGAGGCUGCUGCCCUUUUCCCCACGACUCUGUGCUUCCUGGAACAGGAACAUUCCAUAGCGAAAGUGUUUUCUCUUUGACGGAUGUCUGGCCCUCGGGCGCAGGCGACUCGAUGUCCUGCUUCCUUCAGUGGGAUGUGUUCUGAGUGGGAGCAGCCUCCCUGGGCUCAAGGACAUGUCUCCUGUUAAUCUAAGCUGUGUCGAGAGGGCAGAGGCUUCCUCACUUUCUUUGCGUUCCCUGUAAGCUCUGGGACCCCCGUACUCUCCAUGUCAGGUUUAGUGUAAUUCGUGUUAACCUGCAGGUGAGUGGGCAGAAUUCCAGAAACAGCCCUUUUGCGGUCAUCUCUCCCGGGCUCCAGCGCUCCGUUCCCAGCUGCUUUCUGGAUGCGCUGCCAUGCUUCAAAAUCAACACGUCCCCCCUUCACUCACUCAUCAUGCAUGGAGAGUCUUCUCCGUGCCAGGUCCUGCUGGGGUGGGAGAAAGAGUCAAAGAAGAGACGGCCCCCUGUCGUGUGGAGAGUCUGUUUGGUCACCUCCUUCCCCCCCAGGACCAAGCAUUCCUUGAUAGUGGGGGCUGCAUUUGCUCCCCUGGGGUGUUCUCAGCACCUGGGAGGCAGGACCUAGCAGGGGUGCAAUGAGCACCAUGGCUCAUAUGCUGAAUAAACUGAACCCCUGUCCUCCAAGGGCUUUGGGGUGAUGGGGGAAACAGAGAAAAACUUUUUGACUCAGCAUUCCAGGACCCCAACCUGUAGGUUCUACCUAACUUUCUAGAACCUUCUUGCAUUGUCCAUAUUCAUGCACUUAGCACCAAACUGGACUCUUUACUCUUCUCCAAACAUGCCUCUGUUUCUUCUGCCUGGAAUACCUGUCCCCAUGUCCCCAAAUGUCUAUGGGGUCCUAUAUAUCUUUCAAGGCCAAUCUUAAACUCCGCUGUCUCUGUGAAGCCUUUCCCAAACCCCUGAUAAACUUUAUUUUAGCUCUUACCUCGUAUCCCAGCACAACUCUAACUUUCCUGCCGAAUGGCCUCUCCUGGAGCACGGGGCACUGUUAUCAAAGCUUUGGCAGUAGUGAGGGGCUAAUACAUUUGUUACGGCCCGAAGACCCCGGCAGACCUAAACCCAGCAACUACCACCCAUAACGUCCCAGAGGGAGACCUGGAGGAGGAGCAGCGAGGAAAGAAGAGUCACAUGGCGGCAGCUGGGCUUGGGCCCCACCCCCACAUGGCCAACGCGGGUCAGCUGGGCUGAGCCUGGGCCUCAUUCUCCCCAAAUCUCUGCUCUUCCUGUGCUCUCUCUGCCACCUGGAAGGACAAGGGAGAGAGCAUCAGCAUGGACCAGUGAACUGCAUCUGCUGCAUGAAUGGAGGAGAGCAAUGGGCCAGUCACCUCCCAGCCCUCCUUUUACAACAGUGACCACACCCACCUGCAAAUAUGGGCUAAUCAGUGUCCUGCCAUCUGCAAGGAGGGAGUCCUGAGAGCUUUCAUCUUACCUCUGAAGUCCCCUGCAUAGCACUAAAGAUGAAGUGGGAGCAACAGGGACUUGCUGAAUUAAUCCGAGCCCAGUACUCCGGUGUGACGGACCCAGUACUACUGGGUGACGGUCUGGGUCUGUCCUCACUUCAGUGUCCAGGCCUGGAACCUCUGACAGGAUGAGAAGUGACAUCAGAGUGACCCCUCUCCCUGCCUCCAUGUGCCAGGCUCUGGUCAGCGUGCCCCAGGCCUCUCUCCUAGAGCAGGUCUUCUCGCUCUGCCCACAGCAUAGACACACUGAGUAGACUGGUGGAGGUGUUCAUGCAAACUCGGAAUAGAUGCCUACGCUGCCAGGGACGACAUAGGCCAAGGUGGUGAAAUCCAGGCACAGGCUGACGGGGCACCAGGCACGCAGAGCCAGGGCAGAGCUGGGGUUAGAAUCUGGACUCUGCCUGGUUCCUAACCCCCGGACAUCACCACAGGGGGAGGAGAUGCUCCUGGCCUCAGGUCCACAGGGGCCCUUUGUCUCUUCAUCAGGCCAGGCAGUGGGGUGUAAAACGCUUGGAAUAAGGAAGCCAGGGAUAUCAGGGGACAGGAGCCUCAGCCCCCAGGCAAAUAUUCUCCUAUGGGGGGGGGGAGGGGCUGUGUGCAAGGGACAGGGAGAAAAGGGCCCCUGCCUACAGCCCUGCCCGGGGAUCACUGCUUUCCCGACUAAAUUAAUUAUUCCUUGUGGCCUAGAGCCUACCAGUCCUUUUGGUGAUAUUCUCUCCACCCGUCAACUUUCCCUUAUUUUUGCCUUCUCUCCUUUUGCCCUGCAGGGGCCGGAGCGACCAGGGCCGGCUCGGGACAUCCAAGCUCUGCAGACCGCCGCCACCGCCGAUUCCGCAGGUGGCCACUGGGCGUCGCAGCCGCCCGCGUUGUGCGGUCUUCAUCCUGGCGGCGCAUCCUGCCUUCCGCCUUCCCCAAUCCCCAGCUGGGAGCCGGGCUCCUGGGGGCGCAGGAGAGAGGAGGCCAGGGGACGGGGCACCUUCCCGGAGCCUGGGGGCGGCUCCCGGGCUGUCGGCAGGGCUGAAUAAGGCUCAGGGUCAUUUCAAGAGAGAUGGAGGUGGGUGGUUUGGGCUGCUAGCGGGUGAUGCAGGGUAGAGUGGGGAGGGGUGGAGCAAGGAGGAGGAUUGCUCGGAUCUCUUUUUCCUUGGGGAAGCCCUCUCUGGAGUAGAAUGGGCUGGAAAAUUGCAUUUGGAGAGUGGAGGAGAAAAUAUCUCUGCACACAGAUUUGGGGAGGGGCGUGGGGGUUCCUCCACUGUUUGACAAACACACAGCGCUUACCAUGUGCCAGGCAUUUUACAAAGGUUAACUCCUUGAACCCAUGCAGCAACCCCACAACCUCAUUUACAGGUGAGGACACAGCGGCACAGCUUACCUGGUUGGUGAGUGGGUGAUGGGAUCCAACCCUGGCAGGCCGGCUGACAGGCACUUCUGCAGCCUCCCCUCAGGGCUGGAACCUUCCUCACAGGGCGGAUAGAAUGUGCUGGAGGGGAGGCAGGCCUGGGCGUGCCAACUUUGUGUACAGUUUAGCUCUGAUGCCCUCCUGCUGCAUCCAUGCAUUCAACAAAUGUUAAUGUAGGGCUUCCUGCUUGCCAGGCCUGGGGCACCUGGGGCAGGCACCUGGGCUCCAGCAGUCAGCAGAACCCGCCACAGUCCUUGUCCUUGUGGAGCUAGUGGGGGAGACGGAGAGUAGUUAAACAAUCCCACCAAGGACAUUUACUGAGAUUAGCGUUCUAGAGAAAGGAGUGCUGCUUUCCUCUUUAGCCCCACUCUUCCUCCUGGGCUCCCAUCCUCUCCCACCCCAGGCCCACUUGGCACGUCUGGGCCCUAAUGUGUCUACUAAGAUGCUAGCUCAGAACUAAGGGGCUGGAUGGUUAACUUAGUUGCAAGCCCCUUGCGACAUAGAAAGCAGAUCACGUCCGUUGUCUUCUUUGGCCUUGUCUGGAUGGGCUGGCGUGAUUCUCCUGGGGAGGCAGGCUUUUUCAAAGGGGAUGCUUCAAUCCAGAAAAGAAUCUGGGCGAGACUGGAAAACGUCUUUGGUUCCAGACUUUCUGAAUCCAGACUGUCACCUGGUUUGUAGUGUUUGCCAAUCUCUGUGGUGCCUCUGUUGGCGGAUUUCAGUAACCUGUGUGAUGUCACUGAGUGAGGACUGAGUGAGGAGAUGCACAGCCUGAGUGACCACGCUCCGGCACACCGGCGGUGGUGGUGUCUCUCUCUGGUUGUGUGAAUUGAGGCCAGUGAUUCGUAACUUCAGUUUCUUCAUCUGUAAAAUGGGCUAAUAAUCCCUCCCUCAAGUGUUGGUGUGAGGAUUUAAUGACUUACUGUUGUCCCUGCCUAUCUCACUGAACCCUUAGAACGGCCUUACUCGUUCUAAUUAUUUGGUUUCAUGCCUGUUUCUCCAAUGAACUGUGAACUUAAAAGUAGGGGUCAUGUCACAUUCGUCUCUGUAUCCCCAGUGUCCAGCACAGGGCCUGGCACAUGGUAAGUGCUCAAUAAAUGUGUCCCUUUCAACCCAAAGUUAUGGCCCUCUGAGAGCAGAUCCUAUGGAGGGGAUGUUCUGUGAGUAACGGCCACUCCAAAAAAGGACCUUUCCCUGGGGUCCGGCUCUGGGUUGUUUGGUUCUUUCUGUGACUCUGGGUGAGUCACCCACCCCUCAGCCUAGGCUUUCUCUGUGAGCCUGGGGAGAGCUGACCCACUGACCCCUGUGUAGGUCUUUCUGGAGGAGCCAGCAUUGCUGCAUCAGAUUUCAGCUUUCCAAAGUCUGAGGACCGUGUGUCAGCUGAGGGCUGGUUGUCAGAAGGAUCACCCUGAGGGUGUCCCUUGGGCCACCUGGAGCCCCUUGCCCAGGCCCGUCGACAUGGGGGCUGCUUUAUGCCCAUGAGGAGCUCCUUCCAGGAGGUUCCCUUAGUUCCUCCCUCAGGUCCCUCAAAGUUUCUGGAACAGGGUGGAGGGAACACCAAGGUAAUGACGUCACCACCCCAGACCUAAAAACCAGGCCUCUACACGGGAAGAGGAGCCCUCUGACGCUCUCCCCAGGAAGCAGCGAAUCUGUGGUCAGUCCCUCCCCUGCUCUGAUGCAGCUUGAGAACCUGCUUGUGGACUCCGCUGGUGGAAGACGGGCUCUCCCGACCUCCUUUGUUCCCUGUUGCCUCGUGGCUGCCCGCAGUCCCCAGCCUGGCACCACCCACUGCUGCUCAAGAGCCUGCAGGCCCCUCCCAUCCCUGCUUCCCUUCCUGCUCUUGGCUGCCCCUCUGUCUCCAGGGGUGCGUCCUGAGGGAGGGGCUGGGCAGCAUGGUGACCAGGGGAAAGAGCUGCAGGGAGACUGAGCUCUGUGGGAGUCUGCCAUAAUGUGUUCUUGCUUUGGCCACUGUGGACGUUUCUCACCAGCUCUGGCUGCUCCCCACACAGCUGCUCAGUGGAGCAUGCGAAUCCUGUUCCCCGGGGUGGCCCUGGAGCAUCUUACAUCUCCAAGCCUGAAAGGUUUCUUCUCCCACGCAGCCAUUGAGGAGAGCCCUCCCCGCCUUCUCCCUUCUUCACCAGGAUGCUUGGCCAGGUGUCUCUGAGGCCUCUUGCCCUCUAGACACCCUAUCCCAUUGGUUGACAAGUCCUGUGGAGUGCGCCAUCACUGUUGAUUGGCUGUGUCCUCUCCGGUCCAUGCUGUCACCACAGCUUUCCCUCGUUAGUUCACACCUGGACUCUAGCUGUGAAUUCCUAACAGGGCCUGCUGUCUCCUCCUCCCCAUCCUCUAUAUUCAAAUACAUUCUCCAGCAUAAAUUUAGUCACUUGUUCAUCCUUUCAUUCCUUCCUUCGACAAAUGUACACUAAGCCCCAGCUAUGUGCCAGCUCCUGGGGAUAUGGCUGUGAGCGAGACAGAUAGGUCUCGAGUGUCCUUGGGGUGCCUGUGUCCACGGCCUCCAGGGGGUUUCCAGGGCCCUUGGGGGUGAAGAGCACAUCCCUGAGUCUGGCAUUUGGAGCCCUGCAGUAUCAGCUCCAGACUAUUUCUGCAGCCCCUUGAUUUCCACCUCCUGCCUGUGGGCUCAGCUCCAGCCUCGCCAGACCCGUCUGCGUUCUCCAAUCACACCAUGCAAUUUCUUUAGUCUAGAACGCCCUCCUUUACCUUCUCCAUCUGCUUCAUGGCCCCCAGCUCCAGAGUAACAGCUCUGCAUCCUGCACUGUGCCGCUCAUGGCAUUGGUGCUAUACACAAGCAUGUAGCCAAAGGGGGUCGGUGGGUUGGGAAAACCAAAAGAGAGCCUUUAUUUGCAAAAGUGAGCUGAGAGCCUGCAUUUAACCUUCUCCAACCACCUGAGGUCCUGGGAGUGAACUCUUCAUCUCCCUGUCUGUGCUUUCAUUUCAGUAGGAUUCUCUUUACUCACUUAGAAGUUGUCUUGGUGAGUCCACUGUUAGUGUUUGCAGUGAUUGUUAAAAGCUGACUGCUACAUCCCCAAAAUCUCAUGAAAGAUUUAAAGCCCGUGUUGUAAAAAAGUAUGGGAUUGGCGCCGGCCUGGUAGCACAGCGGUUAAGU